rnacentral:rRNA from 1 species
AGUGAACGCUGGCGGUAGGCCUAACACAUGCGAGUCGAACGGCAGCACAGUAAGAGCUUGCUCUUACGGGUGGCGAGUGGCGGACGGGUGAGGAAUACAUCGGAAUCUACUUUUUCGUGGGGGAUAACGUAGGGAAACUUACGCUAAUACCGCAUACGACCUACGGGUGAAAGCAGGGGAUCUUCGGACCUUGCGCGAUUGAAUGAGCCGAUGUCGGAUUAGCUAGUUGGCGGGGUAAAGGCCCACCAAGGCGACGAUCCGUAGCUGGUCUGAGAGGAUGGUCCGCCACACUGGAACUGAGACACGGUCCAGACUCCUACGGGAGGCAGCAGUGGGGAAUAUUGGACAAUGGGCGCAAGCCUGAUCCAGCCAUACCGCGUGGGUGAAGAAGGCCUUCGGGUUGUAAAGCCCUUUUGUUGGGAAAGAAAAGCAGCAGGUUAAUACCCCGCUGUUCUGACGGUACCCAAAGAAUAAGCACCGGCUAACUUCGUG